rnacentral:rRNA from 1 species
CCCUUAGAUGUUCUGGGCCGCACGCGCGCUACACUGAUGCAUUCAACGAGUCUAAAACCUGCUCUGAUAGGGGUGGGUAAUCUUUUGAAUGUGCAUCGUGAUUGGGAUAGAUGAUUGCAAUUUUUCAUCUUCAACGAGGAAUGCCUAGUAGACGCAAGUCAUCAGCUUGCAUUGAUUACGUCCCUGCCCUUUGUACACACCGCCCGUCGCUCCUACCGAUUGAAUGAUCCGAUGAAUAUCAUGGAUUGAGGAUUAUAGCAGGUUCGCCUGUCUUGAUCUUCGAGAAGUGAAGUAAAUCUUAUCAUUUAGAGGAAGGAGAAGUCGUAACA